GAUGAACGCUGGCGGCGCGCCUAACACAUGCAAGUCGAACGGCACCCACCCUCGGGUGGAAGCGAGUGGCGAACGGCUGAGUAACACGUGGAGAACCCGCCCCCUCCUCCGGGAUAGCCUCGGGAAACCGUGGGUAAUACCGGAUGACCCCGCAGGGCCGCAUGGCCCCGCGGGCAAAGCCCAGACGGGAGGGGAUGGCUCCGCGGCCCAUCAGGUAGACGGCGGGGUGACGGCCCACCGUGCCGACGACGGGUAGCCGGGUUGAGAGACCGACCGGCCAGAUUGGGACUGAGACACGGCCCAGACUCCUACGGGAGGCAGCAGUGGGGAAUCUUGCGCAAUGGGGGGAACCCUGACGCAGCGACGCCGCGUGCGGGACGAAGGCCCUCGGGUCGUAAACCGCU
rnacentral:rRNA from 1 species